AUUGAACGCUGGCGGCAGGCUUAACACAUGCAAGCCGAACGGUAACAUGAAGAAGCUUGCUUCUUUGAUGACGAGUGGCGGACGGGUGAGUAAUGCUUGGGAAUCUAGCUUAUGGAGGGGGAUAACUACGGGAAACUGUAGCUAAUACCGCGUAGAAUCGAGAGAUGAAAGUGUGGGACCUUCGGGCCACAUGCCAUAGGAUGAGCCCAAGUGGGAUUAGGUAGUUGGUGAGGUAAAGGCUCACCAAGCCGACGAUCUCUAGCUGGUCUGAGAGGAUGACCAGCCACACUGGGACUGAGACACGGCCCAGACUCCUACGGGAGGCAGCAGUGGGGAAUAUUGCGCAAUGGGGGCAACCCUGACGCAGCCAUGCCGCGUGAAUGAAGAAGGCCUUCGGGUUGUAAAGUUCUUUCGGUAGCGAGGAAGGCAUUUAGUUUAAUAGGCUAAGUGAUUGACGUAACUACA
rnacentral:rRNA from 1 species